UGCAUGUUGUGCAGAGUUAUGCCCCUUUUAUUGAAGAUGUAUUAUUUAAAUGUUUUAUAUGAUAUCAGCCCACGCACAUGUGCAGCUUCAGUGGUUGUCGAUGAUUCAGGUGUUAAUUAUUUUGUUUUAUUUAACCUGUUAAUGUGUAAAUCAGUUCUCUUUUCUCUCUUACCAACUUUGAUCCUGUAUUGUGAAGUCUAAUAAAAGUUGAUAGAAUUU
rnacentral:misc_RNA from 1 species